rnacentral:tRNA from 2 species
UUUUAAUAGCUUAUGUUUAGAGUAUAAUAUUGAAGAUAUUAAGGAAGAAUAGUUCUUUAAAAUAU